UUAUUUUAGAUAUGUCGAACUGUACACCUUUCGUUACAGAAGAGACGCGAGCAAAUGAGGCACUGCAUGAAAUGUAAAAGCUAUUAACUCCCUAAUUUAGUUCACUUGAACUAAGUGGCAACCAUGGCCUACGGCAAUCUAAAUUCCACUGGAAGCCCAUUCCCCCACAAAUGGUUAAUCCGAAAUAGCCAACCGUUAUACCCGUAAUACCCUGUAGCAAGUUACUUAGCAAGCGAUGUUUCACCUACAUAACAAAGCACGCAGAUAACAUAAACACACCGAACAGAACAGGAAAACACGGAGGAGCAGAAGGAAAAGGAAUGGGAAAUCAACUGAAUAUUGCAACUGUGAUUAAAGGCAGCAAAUGGCUACGUUUCGAAUGCUUUCUACUAUCAAAAUAACCACCAAGAGUCGGCGAGGCACAGACACAGGCACAUCGAACUGCAGUGGCAGUGGCACUAGUGGCACUGGAAGAACGCCAGAAAGCGGCAGACACAAGGAGGUCUUCAAAUUGGUUCAAAGCUGGAGAAAGAAGUCAGCAUUAUUUCAAAAAAAUGCAUCUACGAGCUGUCCAUCAAUGAGUGCGCUGUAAUCACCGCCAAUUG